UACGUAGGGUGCGAGCGUUAAUCGGAAUUACUGGGCGUAAAGCGUGCGCAGGCGGCGCGUUAAGACAGGUGUGAAAGCCCCCGAGCUUAACUUGGGAAUUGCGCUUGUGACUGGCGUGCUGGAGUGUGGCAGAGGGAGGUGGAAUUCCACGUGUAGCAGUGAAAUGCGUAGAGAUGUGGAGGAACACCGAUGGCGAAGGCAGCCUCCUGGGCCAGCACUGACGCUCAU
rnacentral:rRNA from 1 species